UACGUAGGGGGGCAAGCGUUGUCCGGAUUUAUUGGGUUUAAAGGGUGCGUAGGCGGAUAAUUAAGUCAGUGGUGAAAUCUUGCGGCUCAACCGUAAAAUUGCCAUUGAAACUGACUAUCUUGAGUACAGUUGAGGUGGGCGGAAUGUAUCAUGUAGCGGUGAAAUGCUUAGAUAUGAUACAGAACACCUAUUGCGAAAGCAGCUCACUAAACUGCAACUGACGCUGAGGCACGAAAGCGUGGGGAUCAAACAGG
rnacentral:rRNA from 1 species